rnacentral:rRNA from 1 species
AGAGUUUGAUCAUGGCUCAAAUUGAACGCUGGCGGCAUGCUUUACACAUGCAAGUCGAACGGGGUGGAGGGGCAACUCUUCAUUCAGUGGCGAACGGGUGAGUAAUGCAUCGGAACGUGUCCCGUAGUGGGGGAUAACGCCGCGAAAGUGGCGCUAAUACCGCAUACGCUCUACGGAGGAAAGCAGGGGACCCGCAAGGGCCUUGUGCUAGGGGAGCGGCCGAUGUCCGAUUAGCUUGUUGGUGGGGUAACGGCCUACCAAGGCUGCGAUCGGUAGCUGGUCUGAGAGGAUGAUCAGCCACACUGGGACUGAGACACGGCCCAGACUCCUACGGGAGGCAGCAGUGGGGAAUUUUGGACAAUGGGGGCAACCCUGAUCCAGCCAUGCCGCGUGCGGGAAGAAGGCCUUCGGGUUGUAAACCGCUUUUAGCCGGGAAGAAAAGGCAGAGGCUAAUACCUUCUGUUUUUGACGGUACCGGCGGAAUAAGCACCGGCUAACUACGUGCCAGCAGCCGCGGUAAUACGUAGGGUGCGAGCGUUAAUCGGAAUUACUGGGCGUAAAGCGUGCGCAGGCGGUUCGUCGUGUCCGAUGUGAAAGCCCCGGGCUCAACCUGGGAACGGCAUGGGAAACUGGCGAACUGGAGUGUGGCAGAAGGGGGUGGAAUUCCGCGUGUAGCAGUGAAAUGCGUAGAGAUGCGGAGGAACACCGAUGGCGAAGGCAGCCCCCUGGGCUGACACUGACGCUCAGGCACGAAAGCAUGGGGAGCAAACAGGAUUAGAUACCCUGGUAGUCCACGCCCUAAACGAUGUCAACUAGGUGUUCGGGAAGCGAUUUCUGGGUACCGUAGCUAACGCGUGAAGUUGACCAAUCACUA